AUGGAAUCUAUUGUGACUGCCAGGCCUUUUGCUGUGCUUUCUACUCUGGUUGCCAGCCCUCCGCCAAUAGGUCUUAGGCUCAGAAGAGAGAAGGCUUUUGUCCCUGUCCUGUGAGGAGCAGAGCGCACAGCCCCAGUGCCAGGAAGACUGAGAGGAAAGCAGCCGGUUUGGAGACUGGGAAUCUGGGUUUGGAGCCAUAGGCAGGGGCUUGGCCCAAAGCACUCGGUUCAUGAGCCUGCGGAGGCUGAAGUGCCCAGCAGCAGAGAGACGGCAAAGCAGAGCAAGCAGGAAGGACUUGGCUAUAAACACAGCUGAUGCGUCCCUGAAAACUCAAGGAAAAUCGGUUGUUUGCGUGUAUUAGACAUCAUGGUCAAGAGGAAAGAACUGCUGGCUGUAGAGGCAGACCUGUCUGAGGAUGGAUCCCAGGUCCAUCCCUCACUAGAUAUUUAUUGAAGACAAAGUCUGUGUCAGGCACUGGGGGCCUGAGUGGAGCAAAAGACAGGGUUUGCGGGAUAAAGGCAGAAGGUUACCAGGUAUUAUCUUCCCGACUGGAAUUCGUGCCAGGCACUGUUUUCAAUUCUCAGCACGGCAGCUGAUGACAAGUUAGAAAAGGAGACUGGGAAAUGAUGUCUGUUUGUUGUCUCUCCAAUUGGUUGAGGAUACUAAAAUCUACCUUGAAUUCCAUUUGGAAUUUCUUGAGGCAAUCCAACCCUCCUCAGAAAAGCACAACCUGUAAUUGGUUUCUACCCCCUCCCCUUUUUUUGGCUGUUAAUCUAGAAGUACCAAGAAAAAAGUAUCAUCCUAGAUUUACUCUAAUUCAACUCUAUAUGCCUAACUAUAAAAGUAUUUCAGGAUUUGUAAAUGAAGUUUAAAGAAGUCCUUUAGGUAUCUCAGUGACCAACUGU